AGCUUUGCACAGAGGCAGUAUUGUAGCCUAUGAAAUUUAUCUGAGGUAUGAUUGUUGCUAUUGAAAACUUUUCCCAAUACUAUGCUAUGACAACUUGAAAUAUAGUCAGCCUAGGCAAUUUUUGACAGUCUCUAUGGAGA
ensembl:snRNA U4 U4 spliceosomal RNA